UACGUAGGUGGCAAGCGUUGUCCGGAUUUAUUGGGCGUAAAGCGCGCGCAGGCGGUCUUUUAAGUCUGAUGUGAAAUCUUACAGCUUAACUGUAAGCGGUCAUUGGAAACUGGGAGACUUGAGUGCAGAAGAGGAGAGUGGAAUUCCAUGUGUAGCGGUGAAAUGCGUAGAGAUAUGGAGGAACACCAGUGGCGAAGGCGACUCUCUGGUCUGUAACUGACGCUGAGGCGCGAAAGCGUGGGGAUCAAACAGG
rnacentral:rRNA from 1 species